CAAUGGCGGCUCUUACCAUGCAGUCGACGAAUCCUUUCUUCGGAUGGGGUUAGUGGCAGACGGGUGCGUAACACGUAGGUGACCUGCCCUAAAGUGGGGAAUAACUAUCCUAACGGAUAGCUAGUACCGCAUAUGCUCGGUGGUUCGUUCUGCCGAGUAAAGCUCGUAAGGGCGCUUUAGGAUGGGCCUGCGGCGGAUUAGCUAGUUGGUGGGGUAAUGGCCUACCAAGGCGAUGAUCCGUAGGGGGCGUGAGAGCGUGGCCCCCCACACUGGCACUGAGAUACGGGCCAGACUCCUACGGGAGGCAGCAGUGAGGAAUAUUGCACAAUGGGCGAAAGCCUGAUGCAGCAACGCCGCGUGAGGGACGAAGGCCUUCGGGUUGUAAACCUCUUUUCUGAGAGACGAGACAAGGACGGUACCUCAGGAAUAAGUCUCGGCUAACUACGUGCCAGCAGCCGCGGUAAGACGUAGGAGGCGAGCGUUAUCCGGAUUUACUGGGCGUAAAGCGCACGCAGGCGGCUUCGUUAGUCGGAUGUGAAAGCUCCUGGCUUAACCGGGAGAGGCCAUUCGAUACUGCGAGGCUUGAGGUUGGGAGAGGGGUGUGGAAUUCCCGGUGUAGUGGUGGAAUGCGUACAUAUCGGGAGGAACACCUGUGGCGAAAGCGGCACCCUGGCCCACACCUGACGCUGAGGUGCGAAAGCGUGGGUAGCAAACAGGAUUAGAUACCCUGGUAGUCCACGCCGUAAACGAUGUCAACUGGGUGUCGGUGGUUUUACACUAUCGGUGCCGAAGCAAACGCGUUAAGUUGACCGCCUGGGGACUACGGCCGCAACGCUAAGACUCAAAGGAAUUGACGG
rnacentral:rRNA from 1 species